AUUAACUUCUCGAUCAGGGAGAAAGCAGCCUCGUCAGGCGGAGGGAAUGGCUCCUGAAGGGUUGAGUGUAUCAGAUGGUGUACUGUGUUAGAGUGAUGCUGAGUGUUCAUGUUUGAAGCUGUGUGUCUUUUGUGAGGAACACCCCAGUGCUUCAGGAAGAAAGGCUGUUACUCACUGGAAAUACAGUCUACAUGGCCCAGUGAGCCCAUACCAGCAUGCAUUGAGGCUCUGACUCUAUUGAAGCUAACCAUG